rnacentral:misc_RNA from 1 species
GCAAAAGUUGUGUGGGAUAGUAGAAGAGGCUACAUAGCAUGUCUAUGCCUAAACCAAACAGGAACAACUGAUGCAGAUGUUUUGUACAUUUGGGACGUAAAAUCAGGUGCUCGUGAACGGGUCCUUCGUGGAGCUGCUGCUGUCUCAAUGUUUGACCAUUUCUGCACAGGAAUUGACAGAGGACUCCCUGGUGGCAGUAUGAAUACUGGAAAUACUUCGGCCUCUUCAUUGCUUUGUCCUGCUACUGAUGAAACCAGGUCUCCACCACCUCAGUCACAAACUGUGGGAAAGGGAACUUCUUCAUCAAAUAUAUCUGUUAGUACAAGC